rnacentral:rRNA from 1 species
AUUGAACGCUGGCGGCAGGCCUAACACAUGCAAGUCGAACGGUAACAGGAAGCAGCUUGCUGCUUUGCUGACGAGUGGCGGACGGGUGAGUAAUGUCUGGGAAACUGCCCGAUGGAGGGGGAUAACUACUGGAAACGGUAGCUAAUACCGCAUAACGUCGCAAGACCAAAGAGGGGGACCUUAGGGCCUCUUUCCAUCGGAUGUGCCCAGAUGGGAUUAGCUAGUAGGUGGGGUAACGGCUCACCUAGGCGACGAUCCCUAGCUGGUCUGAGAGGAUGACCAGCCACACUGGAACUGAGACACGGUCCAGACUCCUACGGGAGGCAGCAGUGGGGAAUAUUGCACAAUGGGCGAAAGCCUGAUGCAGCCAUGCCGCGUGUAUGAAGAAGGCCUUCGGGUUGUAAAGUACUUUCAGCGGGGAGGAAGGGAGUAAAGUUAAUACCUUUGCUCAUUGACGUUACCCGCAGAAGAAGCACCGGCUAACUCCGUG